UGUGAACUAACACGUACACAACAGUUCACUUAAGAUUUAAAUAUAAAUAAGUCUUCUAAUCUGCUAGGUUAUUUGACUAUAGAGCUAACCUACAGAAUACCAGGAUGUUGAAAGUUUUUCUAUUGGCUGUCUGCGUCUCAGUGGCACUAAGUGCUGACCAUAUAUGGAUGACCGUAUUUAAUUCUAUAGACACCAAUCAGGAUAAAAACAUUAGUCAGGCUGAAUUUGAUGUUGCUGUUGUCAACGUUGACGCGAAUGGGGAUGGUAAGGUCCCAGAAGCUGAAUGGUUAGCUGCAUGGACCCAGGCCACUGUUGGAAAUCACCAUCAAGGUGCCACUGAUAAAGCUGGUCGUCUUAUCUUCUCUAAGACAGAUGCAGAUAAAGAUGGUAGUCUA